AUUGAACGCUGGCGGCAUGCUUUACACAUGCAAGUCGAACGGGCUGGGGGCAACUCCAGUCAGUGGCGAACGGGUGAGUAAUGCAUCGGAACGUACCCCGUAGUGGGGGAUAACGCCGGGAAACCGGCGCUAAUACCGCAUAUGCUCUACGGAGGAAGGUGGGGGACCGCAAGGCCUCACGCUAUGGGAGCGGCCGAUGUCCGAUUAGCUAGUUGGUGGGGUAAUGGCACACCAAGGCGACGAUCGGUUGCUGGUCUGAGCGGAUUAUCAGCCACACUAGGACGGAGACACGGCCCAGACUCCUACGGGAGGCAGCAGUGGGGAAUUUUGGACAAUGGGGGCAACCCUGAUCCAGCCAUGCCGCGUGCGGGAAGAAGGCCUUCGGGUUGUAAACCGCUUUUAGCCGGAAAGAAAAGGCGUCUCCUAAUACGGGGCGUUCUUGACGGUACCGGCGGAAUAAGCACCGGCUAACUACGUGCCAGCAGCCGCGGUAACAC
rnacentral:rRNA from 1 species